AGUACGCCCUACCCUCCACUGCUCCAGCACAUACAAAUACAUACAUACAUGAAGAAUUCAUUUUAGCUGCUUCAAGUAGUUUACAUUUGCUUGCAUGCUACAAUAUCAGAAAUGGAUAUAAAUUUCAUGGCUUUUAAGAAUUCAACUACCACACCAACAGUAAAGCAGGUUGUAUACUCAAAACCCUGAAAUCAAACUUUAUGAGCAACUUAAAGGAUUUCCAAAAGAUUGAAACAUAUAUUCCUGAUCACUUAAUGUCUGCAGAAUUAAGGUGCGCACAACGUGCCAUUGUGCAUGUGUGGUUAUCACUCAUUCCUCUACCGAUGGAUAUUCAGUUGGCUUCCAAUUUUUUUG